GCCCUGUUAGUCAAGUGGUUAAGACACCGCACUUUCUAUGCGGAAACAACGGUUCGAAUCCGUUACAGGGUACCA
rnacentral:tRNA from 1 species